rnacentral:rRNA from 1 species
CCUACGGGAGGCAGCAGUGAGGAAUAUUGGUCAAUGGACGAGAGUCUGAACCAGCCAAGUAGCGUGAAGGAUGACUGCCCUAUGGGUUGUAAACUUCUUUUAUAUGGGAAUAAAAUGUUCCACGUGUGGGAUUUUGUAUGUACCAUAUGAAUAAGGAUCGGCUAACUCCGUGCCAGCAGCCGCGGUAAUACGGAGGAUCCGAGCGUUAUCCGGUUUUAUUGGGUUUAAAGGGAGCGUAGGUGGAUUGUUAAGUCAUUUGUGAAAGUUUGCGGCUCAACCGUAAAAUUGCAGUUGAAACUGGCAGUCUUGAGUACAGUAGAGGUGGGCGGAAUUCGUGGUGUAGCGGUGAAAUGCGUAGAUAUCACGAAGAACUCCGAUUGCGAAGGCAGUUCACUGGACUGCAACUGACACUGAGGCUCGAAAGUGUGGGUAUCAAACAGGAUUAGAUACCCCUGUAGUC